UAUAUCGACUAUAACUCGACAAAUUGGACAAAACACAACCAGAUUGUCUUCCUUGAACGCACGUCUUGCAUCAAAGUACUUGCAGGAAGCACAAUUUCCUCGGCCAGGUCACGUCCAAGCAGGCUCUGAUGCUGCUCCGUAGCUGUACCAUGCUGUACCAUGCUGUCCGAGGAGACCAGGAACAGCAAACUGGCUCUCAUGGACCAGAUGUGGAACAAGAGAGGGGUGCCAAGUAUGAUGUGGGUCACUACAAUGUCCAGCUGAAAGUCUACCUGGACAGUGAACACAAGUUUUCUGGCCAACAUGGAAGCAAAGGACAUACAGCCUAACAGAGUAGGUGUCAGUUAUUAUGGUUAUUCUCUUUUAAAUGUUGGAAGGGGGAUGGAUAGGAAAAUGUCAUCACUGGCCAUUCCCAUUUUUGUCUAGUUUGAGCUAAAACCGAAACAAAAAAUUCUAUACACCCCUCUUCAACUUCUACAAUGGCACAUCCUA